CAUUUGGUGAGAAUUCACAACAUGCCAAGCAUUGGCAGAACUGCUGUACGUAUAUUACUUAAAUAAAUACUUCAAAUAAUCAUGUAAGAGACAUACCCUCAUUAUCUCCAUUUUACUCCUAGUACAUUGUGCCCACAGUCUCAUAAUUGAGCUAGACUUUGAAAUCAAAUCUAUGUUCCUAACCUUUAUGCUUGCUACAUGAAGCAGCCAAAUGAGUCUGUAGUCUCCUGAGUCUCCAGGUGAUUUCUUCAUAGGUUCAAGUGCAACAGAAAGAGAGAGGUCUUCUUAACACACCUAUAUUUCCCGAUUGUUCCCACAAAAAUCCCAAUUAUGCAUUCUUUUGGAUUAAUUAGGUCCUUUCUUAAAUAAACCAUUGGGGGUCAAAUUAUAGUGUUAGACCUGCUCCAGUGGUAAGCUGAAUCUCUACCCACACCCUGUAUCAAUGAGACUGAAUAAGGUAGCAUGUAUUGGAGCUAGUUAGCACCCCAUUUCCACUUUUCCCAAUUCCUAGUGCCAAUAAGGCUCAGUAGAGAGCUGAACCCCCACAACCACCUGCAGCAAGAAGACUGAAUGAGGCAGUGUGAGGCAGGGCCAGUCAGCACUCUGGUUUCUGCUCCUCUCUUCUGGGUCUUCACCCCCAAUUGUCAUCAUUAUGAUGGAAUGGGAAGGUAGAAGAUGGAACUAAUUGGCAUUCCACUCCUCACUGCUCCCCAGCAGGGACCAACAAGAAGCAGAGCUUCCAUUCUUACACUGCAGCAACAAAGUGCCACUUCAGCCAUCUGUCUCCUUCCUCCCCUCUGUGUCAGUGGGGCCCAACAGGGAUCUGAGCUUAGACUUCAAUUUAAAAGCAAUGGAACUGAUGUUGGAGAAAUUAUUUGGAUUCUGGAUGAAGAACCUGAUUACAUGGAAGGCUCAGCAAAUAAAGGCAACCUUCUUGAAAAGGACAAGAAAAAAUUUUUUUUGGUCCUUUCAUCAGCUGCAACAGAGACUUUAAGGUUUUUCAGAUACUUGAAAAAGUCGGUUAAUUCUGGGAAUCAUAAAUCUUUUGAUACCUUAGAUGCCUUACAGUCAUUAUUUUACCUAAAUAUAUCCCCAUCACACACAUAUAUGUAA
ensembl:lncRNA